rnacentral:siRNA from 1 species
AGGUGAUAUGAAAAAAUGAUAUUC